CGGACAGCAGUUUUAACUAUGAAUUUUGGCCCUGGGUGCCGAGGGUGAGGGUGAAAAUCCCUCUUGUUUGA
rnacentral:tRNA from 1 species